UACCAGUGCCCCGAGUGGUCGGGACGAUUAUUGGGCCUAAAGCGUCCGUAGCCGGCCUUACAAGUCCCCCGUUAAAUCCAACUGCUUAACAGAUGGGCUGCGGAGGAUACUAUAGAGCUAGGAGGCGGGAGAGGCAAGCGGUACUCGAUGGGUAGGGGUAAAAUCCGUUGAUCCAUUGAAGACCACCAGUGGCGAAGGCGGCUUGCCAGAACGCGCUCGACGGUGAGGGAUGAAAGCUGGGGGAGCAAACCGG
rnacentral:rRNA from 1 species